rnacentral:rRNA from 1 species
UACGAGGGGGGCGAGCGUUGUCCGGAAUUAUUGGGCGUAAAGAGCUCGUAGGCGGCUUGUCGCGUCGGAUGUGAAAGCCCGGGGCUUAACUCCGGGUCUGCAUUCGAUACGGGCAGGCUAGAGUUCGGUAGGGGAGAUCGGAAUUCCUGGUGUAGCGGUGAAAUGACGCAGAUAUCAGGAGGAACACCGGUGGCGAAGGCGGAUCUCUGGGCCGAUACUGACGCUGAGGAGCGAAAGCGUGGGGGAGCGAACAGG